rnacentral:tRNA from 1 species
GCCCCCGUAGCCCAAUUGGCAGAGGCAGCGGACUUAAAAUCCGUCAAGUCUGGGUUCGAGUCCCAGCGGGGGCACCA